GACGAACGCUGGCGGCGUGCUUAACACAUGCAAGUCGAACGGAAAGGCCCUGCUUUUGUGGGGUGCUCGAGUGGCGAACGGGUGAGUAACACGUGAGUAACCUGCCCUUGACUUUGGGAUAACUUCAGGAAACUGGGGCUAAUACCGGAUAGGAGCUCCUGCUGCAUGGUGGGGGUUGGAAAGUUUCGGCGGUUGGGGAUGGACUCGCGGCUUAUCAGCUUGUUGGUGGGGUAGUGGCUUACCAAGGCUUUGACGGGUAGCCGGCCUGAGGGGGUGACCGGCCACAUUGGGACUGAGAUACGGCCCAGACUGCUACGGGAGGCAGCAGUGGGGAAUAUUGCACAAUGGGCGGAAGACUGAUGCAGCAACGCCGCGUGCGGGAUGACGGCCUUCGGGUUGUAAACCGCUUUCGCCUGUGACGAAGCGUGAGUGACGGUAAUGGGUAAAGAAGCACCGGCUAAGUACGUG
rnacentral:rRNA from 1 species